AUUCCAGCUCCAAUAGUGUAUAUUAAAGUUGUUGCAGUUAAAAAGCUCGUAGUUGGAUUUCUGGCGGGAGCGAUCGGUCCUUCACUCAGUGUUGGAACCUGAUUGUCUCCUGCCAUCCAUGGAGAAAACUUAUCUGGCAUUAAGUUGUCGGGUAGGCAAUCUCCAUCUUUUACUGUGAAAAAAUUAGAGUGUUCAAAGCAGGCUUAUGCCGUUGAAUAUAUUAGCAUGGAAUAAUAAGAUAGGACUAUGGUACUAUUUUGUUGGUUUGUGCACCAUGGUAAUGAUUAAUAGGGACAGUUGUGGGUAUUCGUAUUUCGUCGUCAGAGGUGAAAUUCUUGGAUUUACGAAAGACGAACGACUGCGAAAGCAUUUACCAAGGAUGUUUUCAUUG
rnacentral:rRNA from 1 species